rnacentral:lncRNA from 1 species
UGCCUCGGAAACGGCAUGGGUGAUUUGAUAUGUUGCAUGCUACCAAUAGAGCAGACCAAAUGGGCUGUUUGGUUUGAGGACUAUUCUGGGAAGUGCUGCUCUGAAGAAGGCACUCACUGCAUUUUAGAUAAGGCGACCCUCCCUGCUCCUGGUCAUCAGAGAGCUCAAAGUGCCUUUGUAGUGUCAACACCAAUGCUGAGGCCAAGAGCUCCUCAUGUCAUUACCUUUCACCUACCCAAAUCCCCUGGCUGUUUCAGAGGGAUUUGAUACUUCUCUUUACUUCUGACUCUAAGCUUGUGCUCAUAAUAGCUCAUUGUUAAGCAGCUACAGCAUUCUCUCUUGGGGUGGCAGCCUCUAACUCUUGGAGCUACUGUAUAACAUUUAAUAUUUCAGCCUUCAACAGCCCCUGAAGGAUGGAGACACAGAAGGCAGCAUACAUGAAUAGCUUUUGGACAUUGUGUCCUCCAGGAGAACAUGAUCCCAUAGGAAGCUCUUCCAAGCACCCAGUAAUUACUGAAGUUUUAACUAGCAGCAGACUGAGCACUGAGUGCACCGUACGUGGUCAGGUUACUUCACCAAUACAGGCAUACGUACCACUUGCUGCGAGGAAAGGGGACAUGCCAGGCAGGAGGAUUUCUGCCAUGAAAAGGUGUAGGAUAGAGAAAAAAUGUAAGGAUGACACUGUUUAUACAGCAAAAGGGUUACUGAGCUAGGAUUAGGCACUCAAGGCUUCGAAAAGGGAGCAAAAAGACACAUUACGAUGAGUUUUGAUAGAAGAAAGUAGCAAAGACUUUACAGAGUGAGGAGGAAAAGCACAUAUCUUUAUAACGAAAUAUUUUGUGUUGGAUUUCAGCUGCAAUGAAAGUACAGGAUCUACGGAAAGAAAUCCAUCCAGCCCUUGGCUGAUUACUUUGAGGAAUUAUUAUAGAGCUUAUAUGCAGUCCCAUAUCUCGUCUCAGGAGCUAUACUGUACUUCCAUUCAUUCAGACGCACGCAGCUAUAACACAUCAAAUCCGACCAAAGGCGCGCUCUGUGGCGUCACCAAGAUGCAUGUUGAACCAGCUCUGAAGGAGAGUGCAAAACCCCAGAGCUGUAGGAACAAUAAAUAAAACAUCACACUACCA